rnacentral:lncRNA from 1 species
AAACAAGAAUGUCCACAGUACACGGAUGCCCCACUCGCACUAUCAUUUUCUAUGUUUAGUGGACCGUGAAAUUGGAAUAAAUUCUCUAAUUUGGCAUUAAAAUUAGAAUUAUCUUAUCAAAGGGAACAUGUAUACUAAGUUUCAAGUUGAUUGGACUUCUACUUUAUCAAAAACUACCUUGACCAAAAACUUUAACCUGAAAUUUGCACUAUCAUUUUCUAUGUUCAGUGAACCGUAAAAUUGGGGUCAAAACUCUAAUUUGGCAUUUAAAUUAGAAAGAUCAUAUCAUAGGGCACAUGUAUACUAAGUUUCAAGUUGAUUGGACUUCAACUUCAUCAAAAACUACCUUGACCAAAAACUUUAACCUGAAGCGGGAGAGACGGACGGACGGACGGACAGACGGACGGACGGACGAACGG